rnacentral:lncRNA from 1 species
AUUCCCUUUUUCUAUUCAAUGAAUUCUGCUGGGUAAGUUCCUUACUUCUUCAAUUUACAGUCAAAAAAGGAAAAAGUCCAGUGUCCAAAAGCCCCAAGAUGAUAAACUGGCUGAUAACCCAAUUGUCAAAUGUUUUCGAGGAGGUUCUGGGUCCAAGUCAUGAACCAUGCAGACACGAGGAUCCGAGGCAUGGUAAUUUAUUCCUACCACAAAUCAAAAGAAAAAUAGGUUUGCUAAUUUACUCUGC